GAUGAACGCUGGCGGCGUGCUUAACACAUGCAAGUCGAACGGUGAAGCAGGAGCUUGCUCUUGUGGAUCAGUGGCGAACGGGUGAGUAACACGUGAGCAACCUGCCCCUGACUCUGGGAUAAGCGCUGGAAACGGCGUCUAAUACUGGAUAUGUGAUGUGACCGCAUGGUCUGCAUCUGGAAAGAAUUUCGGUUGGGGAUGGGCUCGCGGCCUAUCAGCUUGUUGGUGAGGUAAUGGCUCACCAAGGCGUCGACGGGUAGCCGGCCUGAGAGGGUGACCGACCAUACUGGGACAGAGACACCGCCCAGACUCCUACGGUAGGCAGCAGUUGGGAAUAGUGCACAAUGGGGGGAAGCCUGAUGUAUCAACGCCGCGUUAGGGAUGACGGCCUUCGGGUUGUAAACCUCUUUUAGCAGGGAAGAAGCGAAAGUGACGGUACCUGCAGAAAAAGCACCGGCUAACUACGUUCCAGCCGCCGCCGUAA
rnacentral:rRNA from 1 species